AUCUGUGAAACUGUUUGGGUUCCAACAAAUACUGCUAAGCCUGGCCGACUGACCCUUACUCAACCUCAGUGAGACUAUAAAGUUUGAGACACAGUAAUUCAUCUUGUGUUCAACACAAGGUUUACCUAGAAAGAUUAAGUUCACUCGCUAAAAAGUUAUAAAGUAACUGAAUGUGAGCAAUUUUGGAUUAACAUGAAACAAUGCUUUUCUUUCAGAACCACUUGGGGAGACCAAAUUAAGUCACAGUGGAAGACAAAAGCCGGGGCAACAGGAUGAAUGCAGCAGAAAGAGGAGCUGACCAGAGAGGAGCCUGCCAUUAAAUCACACAGUCAGUACCUCCUGCCUGACUCCACCGCUCGUCUUUUCUCUGCAACUUAUUUACCUGUGGCCUGACCUCCCGCUGCACCCUUCCUUACACCUCCAUCCCUGGUAUUGACUUCUUGGCCUCUUCAUCCCUGAUUAAACUCUCCUCUCCCAAGUGGCUAUGCACACAGUCUCUUUCUCCUUCACCCUGACCCCCCCACCUCUACUUCAAGCAGAUUACACAACUAUGGAAUCCAUUCCUCUCAAGAUCAAGAGGACCAGCAGUCAGUCAACUCCCUGCUUCCUUAACAGGCUUUGACCAUGACCACAGUAAGAAAUAUGUUUAUAUCACAACCCAAUACAUAUACACAUACUACAUUGGGCUGCCUGGCUGGCUCAACUGGUAGAGCAUGAGACUCAGGGUAGUGAGUUCCAGCCACAUG